AGAAAGAAACUAAAGACAAAACUGGUUGAGGACACAGCCCGUUUAAAGGAUAGUCUGGUCAUGAUUGAGCUAACGUGAAUCACAAGAAAAACCACGUGCUUGUGUGGAGCAACGAUCGAGUGAUUCGCUGGAUCCUCUCAAUUGGUCUUAAAGAAUAUGCAAACAAUCUGGUUGAGAGUGGCGUUCACGGUGCACUUGUGGCCUUAGAUGAAACCUUCGAUUUCAGCGCACUGGCGCUCUUGUUACAGAUCCCUACGCAGAACACACAGGCUCGCGCUGUCUUGGAAAGAGAAUUUAACAACCUUUUGGUCAUGGGGACGGACAGAAGGUUUGAUGAAGACCAUGAUAAAAGCUUUAGGAGAGCACCUUCUUGGAGAAAAAAAUUUAGACCAAAGGAUGUUCGUGGCUUAGCUGCUGGGUCCGCAGAGACUCUCCCCGCCAACUUCUGGGUCACCUCCUCUCUGUCCUCACCCUCCAUGCAGCCAAAGAAGACGCAGCUGGACGGCAGCGUGUCGGGAGCGCAGAGGCUGGACGCCGCCACGGUCAGGACUUACUCCUGCUGAAGCCCCGUGUUUACCCACACUACUUCUACAGAUGACCGUGCAGCGCUCGGGACCCGGCGAAGACGGCCUUUCAGAAUUCAGUGGAUCUGCAAUCUGUUGAUACUUGUUAUAUGGACCCUAAGAUAUUUUAUUACAGAGUUUUUAAUUAGUGAAAAAUUCACGAAUACCAUAGAGAAAAUAUUUUAGAAUUUAAUGUUUCUUAUAUUUAUGUAAACAUAUGACUUCAUUUAUAUAGUUACUUACUUUUUCAUAUCCAGGCUAUAAAUAUCCUUUCAAAUCGAUUCUGUUCUUAUAUCUAAUUUUAGUCUUUCAAACAAAUGUACUGUAAUGCUUGUAUGUAUAAAUCCUAUGAAAAGAUAUAGGGCUUUUGUAAAUUAUGCAUUUAUUGUAAUUAUCAUUAAUUUUUUAAUAAUAAUCGGCGAGAGAGAAGAGGAUUUUACUGCAUUUGCAUUUGUAAGAUCAUCAUGACAUGGUGCGCGUUAUCCUGACAAAUGUAACAGCUCUACAACAAUCAUUUUGAAACAAGCAGACUUAAU